rnacentral:misc_RNA from 1 species
UUCAACAUGAUGACAUUCAAGAGAGUGACCAGGUGUCCUUUGCUAUAAUAUCAUGCAGCCUACAGUAAAUCCAAUAUCUGUAGCAUCAGCAAACAAAUUCUGGAUUUGCAUAUAGGUGGCCUCUUUUGUUGCCAUCAGUGGAAUGUUGUGUAAAUUUAACUCCCAAAGGUGUAUGUGUAGCCUUACUCCAAAGGUGAGUGCCUAGCCUCUCGCCUUGCCGCUAGGUGAGGCAGACCCUUGUUGGAUAUUUGUCUCCUUUCGCCAUCCAAAACACUGAACUUUGGCUAUGUGUUCUUAAUAUUUCACGUUUUUGCCUUAUCUAUGUGAACUUGUAGCCUCAUUUUUAUAACUUUGUACGUUAAGAUGUUGAAUUAUAGUAGAAACAAUAGAGAAAUGAAACUAACAUGUAUCUUCCUUGGAAUGAAUGCUUAGUAGACUGUUGUCAAG